CCAGGAAGGACUGGGACCCCCACUGGCCCAGUGAUUAGAGCACUGGGGCAUGGGUGGGAGUGGGCGGAGCGUCUCCUGAAAUGGGGAGGCUGGAGAGGAAGUCGGGACAGAGGAGAAGGUGCCGCCGCCUGGGACAUGGGCUUCCCCAAGGGCCCUGAAGCGCUCGGUCUGGAACUCAGGGCGAGACUGGCCAGGGGAGAGUCCGCCUCCAGCUGCCCAGGUGCUAAGCAGGCGCCACAGGGCAGACGACAUGCGUGGCCAAGAGAAAAGACGGAAGCGAGAGGCCAGACGUGAAGUUUCUUCUAGGCUGUAUUUUUCUCCUGUGCAAGCUCCUCCUCUGGUUUAGGGACAAUCAAGGAGCACGUAAGUACGGCGGGGGCACUCGUCACGGGUCGGUCCAUGAGCGGCACUUCUCGGGGCUCUGGUCACCUGGCUGUGCUCAAUGACCAGUCUACAUCUGAACCCCAAAGUUCAGCGCCUCCCUCUAUUUUUAAGCGUGUGAGCACUCUUUUUGGGUCACUGACCCUGUGUCCAGCCCCACUGCGUGGCCUGGGCACACCUCCCAACGCCACCAUUGUCUCAAGGAAUGACUACUAUUGUAAAGCGACAGCCUUCAGACACUAGGUGGCUUUUCGGAUGUGCAUAUCCUUCAUGCCAGGGCAGUUUCCCAAGUGUUCCUUGAGUGAGCACGAAGUUUUGAACCUCUUGAUUUGCAUGAUUUUGUGGGGUUUUCUGGGUCAAGUGACCAGCGAACCGUUUUCAGAGGUCACCUCAGGUCCCUUACAGAAAAGAGGAAGCCAAAUGACUGGUUUUUGAUGUGCUGACCAGCCUGAGCUGGGGGCAGUGGGGGCGUGGAAUAGGGGACCUGGGGCCAGCAGCGCGGCAGAGCCAGGGAGGUCUGGCUAGCAGGAGGAAGAGGAAGUGAGGGCUGCCCCCUGCUGCGGGGGGGGGGCGGGGGCGGGAACUUCCCAGCGAGGCUGCAGCAGCCCCUCUGGACUCCUGCCAUCCUCAGAAGCUUGAUUGAGGAAGAAAGGGUAGUGAGGAGGAGCUGCUUUCUGAGGACUCGCCCAGCCCCGAGACCCGUCCAGGGAGGGGUGGGCCUCCAGCCCUUUCGCAGAGGAGAGCUGGUGCCCAGGGCGGGGCAGGGUCAGCCUCCGAGUGGCAGCUCUCCACCGCCUCACCUUGGGCAUCUCCCACUCUGAGCCUCAGUUUGCCCACCCACAAAAUGGGCCAAGAAUGUGGCCUCUGUGGGCAUGUGAUGGGAUGAAGCCAGGUAAGGAGGUCCCAGGCUGGGCCACAGCAAGUCCCCGGCCAGCCCGGCACAGGCGGGGGCUGCACAGCCUCAGGGCCCCUCCUCUCAGUGGGACCUCCUCUCCAGGGCCCCCUGACUGUGCCUCACAGGCACCCGUAAGUGGCUAUUUUGAGCCCAAGUUCCCUUCCGCAACCAUGGGCUUCCCUACUCACCUCCCCGACGUGAGCGCAAAGGGCUGAGUCCCCAGACCCCCUGGUACCACCUCAGACGACCUGUACCUCAGACUCACCUUCCAGUCAAGACCAGGACCCCUGGAUUGCCCCAAAGAGCACCUUUAUUCACAGCAAAGGACGUCACCAUAGCAACCACACUUCAAUUCCCUGAGAACUUUUCUCUUAUUGUUCACUUUCCUAGCUAUGUCUUUGCAGAAAGAAAAACAGAAGACAGAACACACAUCCUGGGCGAGGUGCGCCAAGCUGUACCAGCGGGAGACAGGUCGGAUGGAGGAGGGUGCGGGACGGCCCAGAUGCCAGGGCCACGUAAAUACACGGAGUGUUAGACAUUUCCCGCGUUCACCACAAA